rnacentral:rRNA from 1 species
GAUGAACGCUAGCGGCAGGCUUAAUACAUGCAAGUUGAGGGGCAGCAUGAUAUACGCGAGUAUAUUGAUGGCGACCGGCGGACGGGUGAGUAAUAGGUAGGAGACCUACCUCAUACAGGGGGAUAGCAUAGAGAAAUCUGUGGUAAUACCCCAUGAGGUUAUAUGAAUAGAGGCAUAUAAUCAAAGCAUAAGUGAUUAUGCGGUAUGAGAGGGGCCUACUGACCAUUAGCUAGUUGGUGAGGUAAGGGCUCACCAAGGCGAAGAUGGUUAGGGGUUUUGAGAGAGAGACCCCCCACAUUGGAACUGAGAGACGGUCCAGACUCCUACGGGAGGCAGCAGUAGGGAAUAUUGGGCAAUGGGCGAAAGCCUGACCCAGCCAUGCCGCGUGAAGGAAGACGGCCUUAUGGGUUGUAAACUUCUUUACUACGCGAAUAGAGGUUAGUACGAGAUACUAAUAGGAAGGUAGUGUAGUAAAAAGCACCGGCUAACUCCGUGCC